CUAAGGCCUCAGGCUGUUGGUAAGAGGACUAUUCCUUCACUGCCUGCAGGAAUACGCCAAAGUAAUGUCUACAAGUACUACUGGAAAGAGGAUGUUAGUAUCAUUGGAACGAUAUUAACAGCAUCUGUGUGAGCAGAGGCUUAUCAGAAACAAGGUGUUAAUUAGGAGCUGUGGAUACCAAUCUGGAAUCUGAAGCAACACACCAAGGCACACAGUAAUUUUUAUCUAGAUACUGAGGCCUUGGCUACACUUACAGAUGUACAGCGCUGUGAGUUAAGCCCGCCUCCAUACAGCUGAGUAGGGAAAGCGCUGCAGUCUGUCCACGCUGACAGCUGCCAGCGCACUGCCAUGGCCACAUU